rnacentral:rRNA from 1 species
GAUUAACGCUGGCGGCGUGCAUAACACAUGCAAGUCGAACGAAGUGGCGGACGGGUGAGUAGCGCGUGAGUAACCUGCCUUAGAGAAGGGGAUAGCCUUUGGAAACGAAGAAUAAUACCCUAUACUUUAAGAUGGACUUGCGUCUGAGUAGUUAGUUGGUGGGGUAACGGCCUACCAAGACAGCGAUCAGUAUCCGGCUUGUGCGGGUUUACUGCCACUUUGGGACUGAGACAAGGCCACGACUCUACGUGAGGCAGCAGUGGGGAAUUUUGCACAAUGGGGGAAACCCUGAUGCAGCGACGCCGCGGGAUUUAGAAGGCCUUCGGGUUGUAAAAAUCUUUUCUAUGGGAAGCAGUACCAUAGGAAUAAGGACCGGCUAAUUACGUGCCAGCAGCCGCGGUAAUUC